rnacentral:rRNA from 1 species
UACGUAGGGCGCAAGCGUUGUUCGGAAUUACUGGGCGUAAAGGGCGCGUAGGCGGCCUGUUAAGUCGAACGUGAAAUCCCCGGGCUCAACCCGGGAACUGCGUCCGAUACUGGCAGGCUUGAAUUCGGGAGAGGGAUGCGGAAUUCCAGGUGUAGCGGUGAAAUGCGCAGAUAUCAGGAGGAACACCGGUGGCGAAGGCGGCUUGCUGGGCCAGUUCUGACGCUGAGGAGCGAAAGCGUGGGGAGCGAACAGG